UGGGUAGUCCGCACGAGCGCACCUUACUUUUAGUUGCUACCAUUCAGUUGGGCACUCUAAAAGAACUGCCAGUGAUAAGCUGGAGGAAGGUGGGGAUGACGUCAAGUCCUCAUGGCCCUUAUGUGUUGGGCUACACACGUGCUACAAUGGUAUUUACAGUGGGAUGCAAAGAGGCAACUCCAAGCAAACCCUUAAAAAAUACCUCAGUUCGGAUUGUACUCUGCAACUCGAGUACAUGAAGCUGGAAUUGCUAGUAAUCGCGGAUCAGCGCGCCGCGGUGAAUACGUUCCCGGGUCUUGUACACACCGCCCGUCACACCAUGGAAGUUGGUUACACCUUAAGGCAAAGCAUAAAACCUUUGACUACGGUAUGAUCAGCGACUGGGGUGAAGUCGUAACAAGGUAGCCGUAGGGGAACCUGCGGCUGGAUCACCUCCUUUCU
rnacentral:rRNA from 1 species